rnacentral:lncRNA from 1 species
CUGCGUUCCUGUUUGAGUGGCGCAGCCCUCAAUACCAUCAGCUCGUUGGAAAUAAGUGAGGCUAAUUAUAUCGUGGCACUAAAUAUUUUAAAGCGGAACAUUGAUAAUAAAUGGUCUAUUUUGCAGGCACACAUCAGAGGGAUAUUUGGGUUGGCGAAGGCUGACGCAGAAAGGCUCCUUGUAAGGAAGAAGUAUUCUUCUACCGACAGUGCUUCAGAAGCUGGACAAUGACACUCAGAACAGACGGGAGGAAACUUCUUCGAAUCAGGAGGUGCCGUCGUGG